rnacentral:rRNA from 1 species
AGUGAACGCUGGCGGUAGGCCUAACACAUGCAAGUCGAACGGCAGCACAGUAAGAGCUUGCUCUUACGGGUGGCGAGUGGCGGACGGGUGAGGAAUACAUCGGAGUCUACUUUUUCGUGGGGGCUAACGUAGGGAAACUUACGCUAAUACCGCAUACGACCUACGGGUGAAAGCAGGGGAUCUUCGGACCUUGCGCGAUUGAAUGAGCCGAUGUCGGAUUAGCUAGUUGGCGGGGUAAAGGCCCACCAAGGCGACGAUCCGUAGCUGGUCUGAGAGGAUGAUCAGCCACACUGGAACUGAGACACGGUCCAGACUCCUACGGGAGGCAGCAGUGGGGAAUAUUGGACAAUGGGCGCAAGCCUGAUCCAGCCAUACCGCGUGGGUGAAGAAGGCCUUCGGGUUGUAAAGCCCUUUUGUUGGGAAAGAAAAGCAGCAGGUUAAUACCCCGCUGUUCUGACGGUACCCAAAGAAUAAGCACCGGCUAACUUCGUG